rnacentral:rRNA from 1 species
AUUGAACGCUGGCGGCAUGCCUUACACAUGCAAGUCGAACGGCAGCACGGGUGCUUGCACCUGGUGGCGAGUGGCGAACGGGUGAGUAAUACAUCGGAACGUAUCUUAUCGUGGGGGAUAACGCAGCGAAAGCUGUGCUAAUACCGCAUACGCCCUGAGGGGGAAAGCGGGGGAUCGAAAGACCUCGCGCGAUUAGAGCGGCCGAUGCCUGAUAGCUUGUUGGUGGGGUAAAAGCCCACCAAGGCGACGAUCAGUAGCUGGUCUGAGAGGACGAUCAGCCACACUGGGACUGAGACACGGCCCAGACUCCUACGGGAGGCAGCAGUGGGGAAUUUUGGACAAUGGGGGCAACCCUGAUCCAGCAAUGCCGCGUGAGUGAAGAAGGCCUUCGGGUUGUAAAGCUCUUUUGUCAGGGAAGAAACACCGGCUCUAACACAGUCCGGGAAUGACGGUACCUGAAGAAUAAGCACCGGCUAACUACGUGCCAGCAGCCGCAGUAA